AACGGGGAUUUUUAUUUCGGUAGAAAUUCUAGUGGCAAACGGGUGAGUAACGCGUAGACAACCUGCCUUUCCGAUGGGGACAACAGUUCGAAAGGACUGCUAAUACCGAAUGACGUGUCUCCUUCGCAUGGAAGAGAUACCAAAGACGGCCUCUAUUUAUAAGCUGUCGCGGAAAGAUGGGUCUGCGUCUGAUUAGCUGGUUGGAGGGGUAACGGCCCACCAAGGCGACGAUCAGUAGCCGGUCUGAGAGGAUGAACGGCCACAUUGGGACUGAGAAACGGCCCAAACUCCUACGGGAGGCAGCAGUGGGGAAUCUUCCGCAAUGGACGAAAGUCUGACGGAGCAACGCCGCGUGAGUGAAGAAGGUCUUCGGAUCGUAAAGCUCUGUUGUACGGGACGAAUGUUGAAGGCGUGAAUAAUGCCAUCAAAUGACGGUACUGUACGAGGAAGCCACGGCUAACUACGUGCCAGCAGCCGCGGUAAUACGUAGGUGGCGAGCGUUGUCCGGAAUUAUUGGGCGUAAAGGGAGCGCAGGUGGGAAGGUAAGUCUGUUUUAAAAGCGUCGGGCUCAACCCGAUGAGGGAACAGAAACUAUUUUUCUUGAGUGCAGGAGAGGAAAGCGGAAUUCCUAGUGUAGCGGUGAAAUGCGUAGAUAUUAGGAGGAACACCAGUGGCGAAGGCGGCUUUCUGGACUGUAACUGACACUGAGGCUCGAAAGCCAGGGGAGCGAACGGGAUUAGAUACCCCGGUAGUCCUGGCCGUAAACGAUGGAUACUAG
rnacentral:rRNA from 1 species